rnacentral:tRNA from 1 species
UAAGCGGGAAAUGACUCGAAAUCAGUUUGCGAGCAAUCGCACAUGGGUUCGAAUCCCAUCCUCUCCGCCA